CCUACGGGGGGCUGCAGUGGGGAAUAUUGGACAAUGGGGGCAACCCUGAUCCAGCCAUGCCGCGUGUGUGAAGAAGGCCCUCGGGUUGUAAAGCACUUUCAGUGAGGAAGAACGCCUGGUGGUUAAUACCCAUCAGGAAAGACAUCACUCACAGAAGAAGCACCGGCUAACUCCGUGCCAGCAGCCGCGGUAAUACGGAGGGUGCGAGCGUUAAUCGGAAUUACUGGGCGUAAAGCGCGCGUAGGUGGCUUGAUAAGCCGGUUGUGAAAGCCCCGGGCUCAACCUGGGAACGGCAUCCGGAACUGUCAAGCUAGAGUGCAGGAGAGGAAGGUAGAAUUCCCGGUGUAGCGGUGAAAUGCGUAGAGAUCGGGAGGAAUACCAGUGGCGAAGGCGGCCUUCUGGACUGACACUGACACUGAGGUGCGAAAGCGUGGGUAGCAACCAGGAUUAGAUACCCCAGUAGUC
rnacentral:rRNA from 1 species